AGAAGCUUGGGCAUUCCCUCACAUUCCACUUGACAGAUCUGCGCGGUGAAGCUGCUGCUCCUGUAGUGAGUGGAAGAAAGACAUUUCUCCUCAGCGCUUGAGGAGGAUUCAUCACAAGAACACAAUGCAGGAGGAUGGCAAGGUGGUGGAUGGCAGUCUGCUGGGUGAUGCAAAUGGGGUGGAGCCUGGCACAGGCCGACAGAAGGAGAGCGGCAAAUGGCAGAGGCCUCGAUUCACACGGAAAGCCCUCAUGAGGUGCUGCCUGGUCAAGUGGAUCAUCGCCAGCACCGGACCCAAAGAGCAAGACAUCAACGUGUCCUGAUAUCAUAAUGAAAAAAGAAAAAGGUUGGGAAAAAAAGUACCAUAGUUUGGCGUAAACAUAAAUUAUUAUUUCUUAGACAUAAUACAUAAAACCUUCUGCAAAAACGGUCAUGUACAAUAUAAUAUUGUAAAUAUUGUAAAAACCUCAUGUAUUCCAGAUGUAAGGAA